rnacentral:rRNA from 1 species
UACGUAGGGUGCGAGCGUUAAUCGGAAUUACUGGGCGUAAAGCGUGCGCAGGCGGUGAUGUAAGACCGAUGUGAAAUCCCCGGGCUUAACCUGGGAACUGCAUUGGUGACUGCAUUGCUCGAGUAUGGCAGAGGGGGGUGGAAGUUCCACGUGUAGCAGUGAAAUGCGUAGAGAUGUGGAGGAACACCGAUGGCGAAGGCAGCCCCCUGGGCCAAUACUGACGCUCAUGCACGAAAGGCGUGGGGAGCAAACAGG